UCUCCAGGACAAGUAUCUCACAGGCAGCAACAGUGAAGUUGCCCCACACUACCCCUUUCGUGUGUCUUAACCCUGACUUAGAGGGACUACCUCUAGAGG
ensembl:misc_RNA